GCUAGAGAGAGAAAUUCAAUAGGUAGCCAUCCUCUCUUAACCUCUCCAUCUUCCAUUUCACUUGCUUUUCACAGUUCUCAUCGAGAUUUCUUCUGCUUAUCUCUCUCCUUCAAGAUCAUCUUCUCCAGUUUCUAAUCGUCUCAGCUCGCUGACUAUUCAUUUUCUUCGGCCAAGUGACGCUGAAUCAGAUCCGUAAAGCUUCUCAAUCUGGAGAUGAUAAAUCAAAUUUUCUUAUCGAUGUUACUGAAAUAAGCCAGUCUACAAGGUGUUCGACAAAAUGCUCACAAGAACAUCUUUGUCUUCAGAUGGAUAUGCAACUUUUAAUUUUAUUGGGGUAUUGCGGCUGCUGACAAUAAUCAUGUUCAAAUUUUAUGAGGGAUUAAGAAGACGGGCAUAGCCCUUAUUUCCGAACUCAAGCUAAUAUCAAUAUAGGUUCUAAGAUCUUAAUUGGUUUAGUUCAUCCAUAUUCUCUAGUCAAGCAAACAAAGAAGAAGAAAAUGGUAUCACUGUUUUUAGAUUUUAAUAUAAAUACGAGAGGUGCG